AGAGAGCAAACAACCUGUUUGACUUCAUAUGUUGUGGAUGGUAAUUCAUUAUUCUCGGGAAGUAUGUUCUUUAUAAUUUUCAAUAUCCCUUUAAAUGCUUUAUCGGACACACCAUUUUUUACCUUCCAUUGUAGCAUUUCCAGUGUGGUACCCAAUUUUUUAUGUCCUGCUUGCAAUCUGGGUACAACAAUUUUUUGUGAUCAUCUAUCAUGCACUGCAACUUUUCUGAUUCCUUCUCAGUUUCGCAGUCUUUCUUUGCAUCCCAUAGCACCAGACAAAGAUUAUUAAUAGGGUCAUCUUCUGCAAACUUUUCUUCAUCAGCCUUGCCCAUUGUAGUAUCUGUAAAAGCUUGGCCUACAGCCCAAUCCGAAAUAUUUUUAUCCUCCUCCUCUUCUUCGCCGUCUUCCAUUAUAACCCCUCUUUCACUGUGCUCUAUCCAAAUCAAAUAGUUAGGUAUGAAACCGUAUCUAAACAAGUGGCUGUGAAAGUCCCCCAGGAAGAGUAGUCCUUUUUCGUUACUGCAUUAGAAGCAUAGACAACAUAUGAAUCCCUUCUCUAGCUUAUUGGCUUUGGCCACUUUGAGAAAAUAAUGCAAGACAUCAACA
rnacentral:lncRNA from 1 species